AACGAACGCUGGCGGCAUGCCUAACACAUGCAAGUCGAACGAGACCUUCGGGUCUAGUGGCGCACGGGUGCGUAACGCGUGGGAAUCUACCCUUGGGUUCGGAAUAACAGUUAGAAAUGACUGCUAAUACCGGAUGAUGACGUAAGUCCAAAGAUUUAUCGCCCAAGGAUGAGCCCGCGUAAGAUUAGCUUGUUGGUGGAGUAAUGGCCUACCAAGGCGACGAUCUUUAGCUGGUCUGAGAGGAUGAUCAGCCACACUGGGACUGAGACGCGGCCCGGACUCCUACGGGAGGCAGCAGUGGGGAAUAUUGGACAAUGGGCGAAGGCCUGAUCCAGCAAUGCCGCGUGAGUGAUGAAGGCCUUAGGGUUGUAAAGCUCUUUUACCAGGGAUGAUAAUGACAGUACCUGGAGAAUAAGCUCCGGCUAACUCCGUGCCAGCAGCCGCAGUAA
rnacentral:rRNA from 1 species